rnacentral:rRNA from 1 species
AUGAGCGCUGGCGGCGUGCCUAAUACAUGCAAGUCGAGCGAACAGAUGAGGAGCUUGCUCCUCUGACGUUAGCGGCGGACGGGUGAGUAACACGUGGAUAACCUACCUAUAAGACUGGGAUAACUUCGGGAAACCGGAGCUAAUACCGGAUAAUAUAUUGAACCGCAUGGUUCAAUAGUGAAAGACGGUUUUGCUGUCACUUAUAGAUGGAUCCGCGCCGCAUUAGCUAGUUGGUAAGGUAACGGCUUACCAAGGCAACGAUGCGUAGCCGACCUGAGAGGGUGAUCGGCCACACUGGAACUGAGACACGGUCCAGACUCCUACGGGAGGCAGCAGUAGGGAAUCUUCCGCAAUGGGCGAAAGCCUGACGGAGCAACGCCGCGUGAGUGAUGAAGGUCUUCGGAUCGUAAAACUCUGUUAUUAGGGAAGAACAAAUGUGUAAGUAACUAUGCACGUCUUGACGGUACCUAAUCAGAAAGCCACGGCUAACUACGUG